CCUACGGGUGGCAGCAGUGAGGAAUAUUGGUCAAUGGGCGGAAGCCUGAACCAGCCAAGUCGCGUGAGGGAAUAAGGCCCUACGGGUCGUAAACCUCUUUUGCCGGGGAGCAAGUGCGGGGACGUGUCCCGGCCCGGAGAGUACCCGGAGAAAAAGCAGCGGCUAACUCCGGUCCAGCGGCCGCGGUAAUACGGGGGAUGCGAGCGUUAGCCGGAUUUAUGGGGUUUAAAGGGUGCGUAGGCGGGCUUUUAAGUCAGCGGUAAAAAUUCGGGGCUAAACCCCGUACGGCCGUUGAAACUGGGGGGCUUGAGUGGGCGAGAAGAAGGCGGAAUGCGUGGUGUAGCGGUGAAAUGCAUAGAUAUCACGCAGAACCCCGAUGGCGAAGGCAGCUUUCCGGCGCCCUACUGACGCUGAGGCACGAAAGUGCGGGGAUCGAACAGGAUUAGAUACCCGUGUAGUC
rnacentral:rRNA from 1 species